rnacentral:rRNA from 1 species
GACGAACGCUGGCGGCGUGCUUAACACAUGCAAGUCGAACGCUGAAGCCCUUCGGGGUGGAUGAGUGGCGAACGGGUGAGUAACACGUGGGUAAUCUGCCCUGCACUCUGGGAUAAGCCUUGGAAACGGGGUCUAAUACCGGAUAGGACACAUCGCCGCAUGGUGUGUGUGUGGAAAGUUCCGGCGGUGCAGGUUGAGCCCGCGGCCUAUCAGCUUGAUGGGGGGGUGAUGGCCUACUAAGGCGACGACGGGUGGCCGGCCUGAGAGGGUGACCGGCCACGCUGGGACUGAGACACGGCCCAGACUCCUACGUGAGGAAGCAGUGGGGAAUCUAGCGCAAUGGGCGAAAGCCUGACGCAGCAACGCCGCGUGGGGGAUGACGGCCUUCGGGUUGUAAACCUCUUUCGACCGGGACGAAGGAUUCGUUUGACGGUACCGGUAGAAGAAGCACCGGCUAACUACGUGCCAGCCGCCGCCGUAA